rnacentral:lncRNA from 1 species
GGCCGGUGUUGACUACCCAUAGCUUUUUCACACUGAGGGUGUGAGCUGUUGGUGGGUCUAUGAAUCUGGGGUCUGGAGGUUGGUGGCCAUCUGCGUGGGGGCUCCAAGCCCAUAUUUUCCUUCCACACUUCCCUAGUAGACGUUUUCCAAGAGGAUCUGCCUCUACAUCAGGCUUCUGCCUGGAAACAGUGGGAGUUGGGGGUGGGGGGCAAAUCCUUCACCAAUGGUUAAGCACCAUCUUUUUGAUGCUGACCUUGUGAGUUCUCAUGAGAUCUUGGAUCUUUGUAAAGAAUUGUUAACUACUUGUGAUCAGAAGGCUAACAGGAAAAUGGUCAGUGAAAACCAGACUUGGAAGGUCUCAGAUAAUAAUGAGGAACUUACUGGGAACAGAAGCCAAGGUUACUUUUGUUUUGCUGUAGCAAAGAACAUGGCUGCAUGGUGACCCUGCCCUGGAGAUCUGUGAAACUUUAAACUUGAAGGUGAUGACUUAGUGCAUAUCUGGUGGAAUGAACUUCUAGGAAGCAAAGCUCAAGAGGUGUCUUGUC